CCUACGGGGGGCUGCAGUGGGGAAUAUUGGACAAUGGGGGGAACCCUGAUCCAGCCAUGCCGCGUGUGUGAAGAAGGCCCUCGGGUUGUAAAGCACUUUCAGUGAGGAAGAACGCCUGGUGGUUAAUACCCAUCAGGAAAGACAUCACUCACAGAAGAAGCACCGGCUAACUCCGUGCCAGCAGCCGCGGUAAUACGGAGGGUGCGAGCGUUAAUCGGAAUUACUGGGCGUAAAGCGCGCGUAGGUGGCUUGAUAAGCCGGUUGUGAAAGCCCCGGGCUCAACCUGGGAACGGCAUCCGGAACUGUCAAGCUAGAGUGCAGGCGAGGAAGGUAGAAUUCCCGGUGUAGCGGUGAAAUGCGUAGAGAUCGGGAGGAAUACCAGUGGCGAAGGCGGCCUUCUGGACUGACACUGACACUGAGGUGCGAAAGCGUGGGUAGCAAACAGGAUUAGAUACCCUGGUAGUC
rnacentral:rRNA from 1 species